rnacentral:lncRNA from 1 species
GUUGGGGCAAGUAUGGACAAAACAUUCUAGCGUGAUACAGCUCUGAAUUUGGAUUGUGAUCAAAUUUUUGACAUUACAUGGUUUUUUUUACACAAAACAAAUGUCAAGAUUUUACAAAUUUUACAAUUAAAGAUUUCUUCUUCAAACUUUUUAAAUCUAAAAUUAAAUAGUUGACACAGCAUAGGUUUCUGACACAGAAUGAAUGUGGUCUAAUGAACUUAAAAGUUUGUUUUUGCCUUUUAGCAAUUCACUAUGCUGUUGAAUAUUAAUCCUCUCAAAAAAAUGUUUGAAGAAAUUUUCUUUUUAUUUAUGAAAUCUGAAAUGAGAAAAAUUUUACCCCCCCCCCCCUUUUUCACAUCCCCGUUUCCCUUUUUCCAAAACUGAUAUCAAUUCAAAUUUCUAAUGGAGUUUGCAACAAUAACUACUCUUUUAAAUACAUCAUAAAAUAUUAAAAUGUAAAAUAAAGUGCUUGUUAUCACUGAAUGGUAAAGAUUGGUUGGUAGUAAAAGUGAAUAUACAUUGUUUAUUGUAUAAAACAAUAAAAAAAACUUCAUCAGCAACAUUUUAUAUUGGCAAAUUUCCA